GACGUAGGGCGCGAGCGUUGUCCGGAAUCACUGGGCGUAAAGGGCGCGUAGGUGGCCUGAUAAGUAGGAGGUGAAAUCCUGGGGCUUAACCUCAGGGCUGCCUUCUAGACUGUCCGGCUCGAGCACAGUAGAGGCAGGUGGAAUUCCCGGUGUAGCGGUGGAAUGCGUAGAGAUCGGGAAGAACAUCGGUGGCGAAGGCGGCCUGCUGGGCUGUUGCUGACACUGAGGCGCGACAGCGUGGGGAGCAAACAGG
rnacentral:rRNA from 1 species